rnacentral:tRNA from 1 species
GAGGGUAGAGCUCAGUGGUAGAGCACAUGCAUAGCAUGCAUGAGGUCCUCGGUUCAAUCCCCAGUACCUCCA